GCCGGGGCACCGGCACCCGUCGUGUCCUCGGCCGGGCUGGGGCAUCUCCAGGGAUCCCUCACAGGGUUCCCGGGUUGUACCUGUGUCCCUUCGGGAUCCAGGAAUCGAUCUCUCCCUGGGUCCCCUUGAUGUCCUUGUGUCUCUUAGGGAUCCAGGAAUUCGUGACAGGGUUCCCAGAAUGUGCCUGUGUCUCGUUAGCCUGUACAGGGAUCCUGUGAUCCCGCAGGGUCCCUGGGAUGCCCCUGUGUCCCUUUAAAUGCGCCCAGGACUGGAAAGCCGGAGAUUUAGACCCGAAUUUUUUUUUUUAUGUGCUCUUAAUGAUAUUUAUUGUUAAUGGCUAGAUGGGAAACUGAUUUAUUUUCCAUCCUGUUCUUGGGAAGCAGAGGCUUUUCUAUUCCUCUGCAGCAUCUCAGAUCUGCUGAGGCUCACUCUGCCUCCUCACUCCUACCACAUUGUUUUCAUACUUAUGAACCAUAAUAUUUAUCAAAAGUGAAGCAUAUUUUAGUUUAAAAUUGAAUUGCUAUCUCACCUUAGUUGCCAGGUUUUGUAUUACCUCAUAUGUCUUCAUGCCAAACACUGUUUGUUUAUUUAUUUAUUCUUUUUAAUCUCCUGUACUGGGUGUAGGGAGUUUGUGGGGCUGUAAUCUGAUUUUUUCCCUUUCCUGUGCUGAGGGAUAACGUGCUGGCUGAAGUUCUAAUCAUUGUAGGCAUUUGCAGAAAUUAUCAGGGAGUUGGUGUAAAACUGUUUUUGAAAACCAUUGCCAUAUUUAUGGUAACAAAAGUCUCUUUUUGGCCACUGGAAGAAGAUAUGAUCAAACCAGCAGUGUUGGUUCUGAUGUGCUAUGUGUUUUUAAUCUGUGAAGUUCCAGCACACCUGUCCUGGCUGGCAGCAGGAACCUCACUGGAUUCAGCAAAAGCUUCCUCAAGAGGUUUGACAUUGAACUACUGCCCUGCCCUGACAGAUCGUGGUGUCUGAGGGGUUAGAGGACAUGCAGAUUAGUUGUGUCACUAAUGGGUAUGUGCUAAUGGAAA
rnacentral:lncRNA from 1 species